UGAGAUGUGGUGUAAUGGUAGCACCAGGGAUUUUGGUUCCCUUAGUUAGAGUUCGAAUCUCUACAUCUCAA
rnacentral:tRNA from 1 species